UACGAAGGGGGCUAGCGUUGCUCGGAAUCACUGGGCGUAAAGCGCACGUAGGCGGCUUUUUAAGUCAGAGGUGAAAUCCUGGAGCUCAACUCCAGAACUGCCUUUGAUACUGGAGAGCUUGAGUCCGGGAGAGGUGAGUGGAACUGCGAGUGUAGAGGUGAAAUUCGUGGAUAUUCGCAAGAACACCAGUGGCGAAGGCGGCUCACUGGCCCGGUACUGACGCUGAGGUGCGAAAGCGUGGGGAGCAAACAGG
rnacentral:rRNA from 1 species